CUAGUGGUGGUGGUUGGCUUCACAGAGGCAUAUUAUCAUACACUUGCAGCGUAUACAUAAUCAACUAAUACAACUAAAUCAAAAUAAAAGAGAACCCAUGAGUCAUUUAGAGUUGAUCAAAAUUAAAUAGACAACAACAUUCGAGUUACAACAAACCUGUAAAUCCUCUGUUUUCUUCAAGGGUUGCAUUUUGAAAUCGGCUGAGAGAGAAAGAGGUGUGAUGUUUUAAAAUCUACAGAAUUUUAAAAAGAGAGGGGAGAGACCAAAGCAGAGAGAGAGGUGGCAUGUGAGAGAUGGACUGA
rnacentral:lncRNA from 1 species